rnacentral:rRNA from 1 species
UACAGAGGUCCCAAGCGUUGUUCGGAUUCACUGGGCGUAAAGGGUGCGUAGGUGGUGAGGUAAGUCGGAUGUGAAAGCUCGGAGCUCAACUCCGAAAUGGCAUUGGAAACUACCUUGCUCGAGGAAUGGAAGGGGGACUGGAAUUCUCGGUGUAGCAGUGAAAUGCGUAGAUAUCGAGAGGAACACCAGUGGCGAAGGCGAGUCCCUGGACAUCUCUGACACUGAGGCACGAAAGCUAGGGGAGCAAACAGG